rnacentral:rRNA from 1 species
AUUGAACGCUGGCGGCAGGCCUAACACAUGCAAGUCGAACGAGUGGCGGACGGGUGAGUAAUGUCUGGGAAACUGCCUGAUGGAGGGGGAUAACUACUGGAAACGGUAGCUAAUACCGCAUACCAUCGGAUGUGCCCAGAUGGGAUUAGCUAGUAGGUGGGGUAACGGUUCACCUAGGCGCCGAUCCCUCGCUGGUCUGAGAGGAUGACCAGCAACACUGGAACUGAGACAUGGGCCAGACUCCUACGGGAGGCAGCAGUGGGGAAUAUUGCACAAUGUGCGCAAGCCUGAUGCAGCCAUGCCGCGUGUAUGAAGAAGGCCUUCGGGUUGUAAAGUACUUUCAGCGUGGAGGCGUUACCCGCAGAAGAAGCACCGGCGAACUCCGUGCCAGCAGCCGCGGUAAUAC